CGACGCCGUUUCUUCUAACCGUCGACCUCGCCCACCUCGCCAUCACCCUGCGAACUUCCUCCUUCAACUCUUUUCAACGUUUUCAAACACCCCGAACGACAAAACCACCGCUUCAUUCUUCAUCAGUUCACGCAGACCACCGCCACCACUACCACCACUUCAGCCAAAUCCGACGAAGGGCGCCACUACACACGUGUGAAUCUUCCUGCGCCACCAGUCUCCGCAACGUUUUCCGAAGCCCGCUUGACUGAAGGCACGAAGCCUAGAGAGAGUUUUCGUCUGCACCAUUAAGUAAAAGAUUCGAUAUGUUCACUCUGGACUCUGGAGACUCUGGAUGGCAUCUGUGUAGCCAUUAAAGGGUUCAUAAACGAGCAGAACACUAUUGAAAACAGGAUUCCGUCUGAGGCACAAAGCCUGGAGAGAUUUUUUGUCUGCACCAAUAAGUAAAAGGUUCAAUAUUUUCACUAUGGACUCUGGAGACUGGAUGGGAUCUGUGUAGCCGUUAAAAGGUUCAUAAACCAGCAGAACAGUAUUAAAAACGGGAUUCCGUCUGAGGUAGUACUCGAUAUUUGCUGAUUUUGGUUGAAUUUGUGAAUGUAGUUAACUUUUGAAUGUUUUUUGGUACAAAUUUAGUUUCGAAUUUUGGGUUUGCCUGGAUAUGUUGAAAAAUAUACCCAUUUGAGAGUGUUGUGGACUCACAGAUGCUGUAGGUGCUGAGUUUUGGGAACUGUCUAUUAAUUCAGAUUCAUAUUGGGAUAUUGAUACUUUGAACAAUCAAUUAGUGGUAACUUACUAUAUUAGCUAUGAAUAUUGUCAUUAAGUAUAAUUAUGGAGAAUGUAAAAUUAUCCUUUUGUUGGUUUUACAAGCAUAAGUGAAUGAUGAGCACUGAACCCAGCAAAACUUUGCUUUUCAGCAAAAAUUUUAACAUAGGGGAGACAUUGGUGUUUUCUUGUAUGUACUUACUGUCGGAUGAUAAAAUUUUGGGAUUUUUUUAUUGUUUCAUUGGUGCACUAUUGUUGCGAUGGCGUCUGGGGAUGCGUACCUACAACAUCAGGUGGUUGGGUAUGUUUUUUGUCUCAGAAAAGUUUGUUCUGUAAUAUGAAAUACAUGAUUAAUAAUGUAGUUUUAUUUUUGUUCUGUUAAGGCACCAAGUCCCAACUCAGGUUUACAAUCUGUUAACUCCCCUACAAAACGGAUCAACAAUAAUGAAUUCAUUUUUAGUUUCUGUGCCAAGUUUGAAUAUGAGCGUCACUGUUCAUCCCGCAGACUUAGGAUUAAAUUUGGCCCAAAAAAUUAGUGUUGAAACGGGAGAAGACCUGAACCAAUUAGUAAUGGUAACACAUGGUUAUCAUAUUAUGCGUCAUAUAGAAUUAGGAGAAAUUCCGGGGAUUAAAGAUUAUAGAGAUAUAGAUAUAGGGUCAAUGAUUAUUUGAAUGGAUCCAUAUCCUCUGUACCCAGCUGAGUCAACAAUUAGAUACACACUAUUUAUGGAUGUACCAGUAGCUAGUGAUAGGUUGUCUGUAGAAAUAUUUAGCAGUUUGAACUAAUGGGCUGUUGAAUAUUUUGGGACUCCUGCUAGCUUUAGUUUGAGAGACAGAGAGGGUGUGGUGGUGACCCACCUGCAGUCACCCAACAACCGUCCUCCAGCACCCUUCCCACCUCAGCAGCCCCAGCAUCCCACUCUAGCUCCCUCCCCACCUCACCAGAUGAAUGACCGCCAACCUUGCAUGGCCCUUCGACAUAGAUACACACUAAUUAUGGAUGUACCAAUAGCUAGUGAUAGGUUGUCUGUAGAAAUACUUAGCAGUUUGAAUGAAUGGGCUGUUGGAUACUUUGGGACUCCCGCUAGGUUUAGUUUGAGAGAUAAGAAGUGUUUGGCGGUGACCCACCCACAGCCUCUCAACAACCAUCCUCCCGAUCGACGACUGCCUACCCCGCCUGGUCCGAUGACGUAGCCCCCCCGUCUUGCUGAAAAGGUGAGAGAAAACUAAAGGACCACUAAAGGUAUUAACAGCCAAGUCAGGAGAAGAAGAUUGUCAUGAUACAUAGACAACCAAACUAAAA